GACGAACGCUGGCGGCGCGGUUAACACAUGCAAGUCGAACGGAAAGGCCCUGCUUUUGUGGGGUGCUCGAGUGGCGAACGGGUGAGUAACACGUGAGUAACCUGCCCUUGACUUUGGGAUAACUUCAGGAAACUGGGGCUAAUACCGGAUAGGAGCUCCUGCUGCAUGGUGGGGGUUGGAAAGUUUCGGCGGUUGGGGAUGGACUCGCGGCUUAUCAGCUUGUUGGUGGGGUAGUGGCUUACCAAGGCUUUGACGGGUAGCCGGCCUGAGAGGGUGACCGGCCACAUUGGGACUGAGAUACGGCCCAGACUCCUACGGGAGGCAGCAGUGGGGAAUAUUGCACAAUGGGCGGAAGCCUGAUGCAGCAACGCCGCGUGCGGGAUGACGGCCUUCGGGUUGUAAACCGCUUUCGCCUGUGACGAAGCGUGAGUGACGGUAAUGGGUAAAGAAGCACCGGCUAACUACGUG
rnacentral:rRNA from 1 species